rnacentral:rRNA from 1 species
UAACACCUUUCAGCAGUGGAUGUCUAGGCUCGCACAUCGAUGAAGAACGCUGCGAACUGCGAUACGUAAUGCGAAUUGCAGGAUUCAGUGAGUCAUCGAAAUUUUGAACGCAUAUUGCACUUUCGGGUAAUGCCUGGAAGUAUGCCUGUAUCAGUGU